GAUGAACGCUAGCGAUAGGCUUAACACAUGCAAGUCGCGGGGCAGCACAAGGUAGCUUGCUAUCUGGGUGGCGACCGGCGCACGGGUGCGUCACGCGUAUGCAACUUGCCCUAUACAGGAGGAUAACCCGUCGAAAGACGGACUAAUCCUGCGUAUGCUCACACCUUGGCAUCAAGUGGUGAGGAAAGAACUUCGGUAUAGGAUAGGCAUGCGUCCCAUUAGCGUGUUGGUGAGGUAACGGCUGACCAAGGCAACGAUGGGUAGGGGAACUGAGAGGUUUAUCCCCCACACGGGGACGGAGACACAGACUAGACUCCUGCGGCAGGCAGCAGUGAGGAGUAUGGGACAAGGGGCGCGAGCCUGAACCAGCCAAGUCGCGUGAAGGAUGACUGUCGUAUGGAUUGUAAACUUCUUUUAGACGGGAAUAACAAGAGUCACGGGUGACUCACUGAAGGUACCGGAUGAAUAAGCAUCGGCUAACUCCGUG
rnacentral:rRNA from 1 species